rnacentral:rRNA from 1 species
UACAGAGGGUGCGAGCGUUGUUCGGAAUUAUUGGGCGUAAAGGGCGCGUAGGCGGCGCGGUAUGUCACCUGUGAAAUCUCCUGGCUUAACUGUGAAACUGCAUUGGAUACUAUCCGGCUAGAGGAAUGGAGGGGAGACUGGAAUACUUGGUGUAGCAGUGAAAUGCGUAGAUAUCAAGUGGAACACCAGUGGCGAAGGCGAGUCUCUGGACAUUUCCUGACGCUGAGGCACGAAAGCCAGGGGAGCAAACGGG